AAGAUAACCUAUAUCUCAAAUAUCGGUCCUUGACCGAUAUUUUACCGCAUUAACUGCAUAGCAUAAAACUUGAGGAUACCUAAAAUUAAAAGAUAAAAUGAAAUCACAAAACGAAAAGUCGAAACUUGAGGAUGCGCAAACACCGUAGUCAAGAAGUAAGGGACACAAGUCAUUAGGUCCGAGUGAAAGAUCAAGUAAAAGAAGUGUAAUGGCCUAACUUAAUAAAUAAGUUUUCUAAUGGACAACCUAAUAAUUAAAGCAUAUUUGUAUAGAAGCCUUAGCUCCUAAUAAAAAAUCAUUGUGUCCAAAGAUACUGCUAAAUUGUUUGAUUAUGUGAUUUGCCUCUUAUACAUCUUCUCAUGACUCCUUUGACAUCUUUGCCAUCAUUUCUUGCAAGUUGGGUUUGUUCAGAUACUCAUGUACCUAAUGUGGUCCAUUUGCUUGCAAACUUGGUUUAUUUCAUGCACCAUUUCUUCAAAUCAUCAAAAAAGGUUCUAUACUCUUCUCAUCCACCUUUGCCCACAGUUGUAAACAUGGUAGGUAUCCUUGUUCUUAAGCUCUAUGAUAUGAAGAGUUUGGGGCUUUAAAUAUGUAACUAUCGCAUAUAUGAUUAUAAUAGUUUUGGUUGGGUAUAUAUAAUAUAUUGCAAGUUUGCAAGGGUGUAUAUGAAAUUCACCCAUAAUUUUUUUGAUCGUCCCAUCAUGUUAGCGUUAAUCUGAUAGAAUUGUCUCCUUAAAUCACGAAUAGACACGUUCCAUAUUGAUUGUACUUGUACGUUACUAAGUGUUCACUUGUUAAUGUUUCUACCGCAAUGUGUUUGUUA